rfam:Schistosoma curassoni strain Dakar, Senegal genome assembly, scaffold: SCTD_scaffold0001251
GCAUUGCGGAGGAGUCCCAUACUAGGACGAAACGGCCGUCCAGUGC